AGAACCUUACCUACUCUUGACAUCCAGAGAACUUAGCAGAGAUGCUUUGGUGCCUUCGGGAACUCUGAGACAGGUGCUGCAUGGCUGUCGUCAGCUCGUGUUGUGAAAUGUUGGGUUAAGUCCCGCAACGAGCGCAACCCUUAUCCUUUGUUGCCAGCGGUCCGGCCGGGAACUCAAAGGAGACUGCCAGUGAUAAACUGGAGGAAGGUGGGGAUGACGUCAAGUCAUCAUGGCCCUUACGAGUAGGGCUACACACGUGCUACAAUGGCAUAUACAAAGAGAAGCGACCUCGCGAGAGCAAGCGGACCUCAUAAAGUAUGUCGUAGUCCGGAUUGGAGUCUGCAACUCG
rnacentral:rRNA from 1 species